GCGGGAAUAGCUCAGUUGGUAGAGCACGACCUUGCCAAGGUCGGGUCGCGAGUUCGAGUCUCGUUUCCCGCUCCA
rnacentral:tRNA from 16 species